AGUGAACGCUGGCGGUAGGCCUAACACAUGCAAGUCGAACGGCAGCACAGGAGAGCUUGCUCUCUGGGUGGCGAGUGGCGGACGGGUGAGGAAUACAUCGGAAUCUACUUUUUCGUGGGGAUAACGUAGGGAAACUUACGCUAAUACCGCAUACGACCUACGGGUGAAAGCAGGGGAUCUUCGGACCUUGCGCGAUUGAAUGAGCCGAUGUCGGAUUAGCUAGUUGGCGGGGUAAAGGCCCACCAAGGCGACGAUCCGUAGCUGGUCUGAGAGGAUGAUCAGCCGCACUGGAACUGAGACACGGUCCAGACUCCUACGGGAGGCAGCAGUGGGGAAUAUUGGACAAUGGGCGCAAGCCUGAUCCAGCCAUACCGCGUGGGUGAAGAAGGCCUUCGGGUUGUAAAGCCCUUUUGUUGGGAAAGAAAUCCAUCUGGUUAAUACCCGGGUGGGAUGACGGUACCCAAAGAAUAAGCACCGGCUAACUUCGUGCCAGCCGCCGCCGUAA
rnacentral:rRNA from 1 species